rnacentral:rRNA from 1 species
UACGAAGGGUGCAAGCGUUACUCGGAAUUACUGGGCGUAAAGCGUGCGUAGGUGGUUUGUUAAGUCUGAUGUGAAAGCCCUGGGCUCAACCUGGGAAUUGCAUUGGAUACUGGCAGGCUAGAGUGCGGUAGAGGGUAGUGGAAUUCCCGGUGUAGCAGUGAAAUGCGUAGAGAUCGGGAGGAACAUCUGUGGCGAAGGCGACUACCUGGACCAGCACUGACACUGAGGCACGAAAGCGUGGGGAGCAAAACAGG